ensembl:lncRNA
CAAGUCUAAAGUCAUAAAAUUAAUGACUCGAGUCUGACUCGAGUCCAAGUCAUGUGACUCGAGUCCACACCUCUGGCGGCUGGAGGUUGAAGUGCGAGCAAUUCCCUACGGGCGCCCAAUCAGCACUUCCCCCUCACCACUGAAGCAACCAAGUGAGGGUGAGACUUUCCUUUACUAGCUGAUUUCUGUGAAGAAAGUGGAAUCCUCGGGGACCUCAACUUUUUUGCAGUGGCUCUGAUGUAUCCAGGAGGGUCUCUCCGCUAUUUUGCAGGCAGUUGGAGUGGUCAGAAGCACUUGGUAUGGACCCUCCCACCGUGGCGAGCUCCAAUUUUUCCUUUAUUGUUAGUUAAGAAAAGUUAAGUGAGGGUGAAAAAAGAAAAGAAAAAGGAUGAAGAAAGCAGGAGAGAAAGAAAAAAAUGGAGAGGUGGUAGGAGAGAAAGGGAGAAGAGAUGAAAAUAAAGGGAUAUAAAGGAGGAAAGAGACAGAGGAGAGAAAACCCCAACAAUCCCCUCUGAGCAUGCACUAGGCGACUGUGGUUAGGAAAAACUUCCUUUUAAAAGGAAGAAACCUAUUGCAGAACCAGGCUCAGUGAGGGUCAUCUGCCAUGACUAGUUGGGGGGUAGGGGGGAAAAAAGAAAAGAAAAAAAAAAGGAUGAAGAGGGGAGGGGAGAAAGAAAAAACGGGGAGUGAUGGAGAGUUAGGGGAGAAAGGGAGAGAAGGGAGGUAGAAAAGAGGUGGAUGAAGAGGAGGCUAUGCCUUCGUGUAAUCAAGUGAGGAAGCAGAAGGGCCCCUCCUCCUCCUGAAAAAGCAGAAGCAUUUUUCCUUCUUUUUCAGGCACUGUUCCUGGAGCUCAGUUCUUCUAUUGUCAUUGCAUUUUCCUCCUCAAGUUUCUUGCAUUUUUCCUCUAGUUCUUGUAAUUUUGCUUGUUCUUCUUCACUCUUUUCUUUCAGAUCUUUAGAUUUUGCCUCCUGUAUUAGCAUGAAUAUCUGUAUUCCGGUGUUAUACUUUGUCGAUUUCUGCUCUGGAUUUCCUCAUGCGUAAAGUGCAGGUCAUUGCGUGUUUUCUCCAGUUCUUGCUCUUGCACCUGCAUUUCAUUGUCUUUGCGCAUCAAGUUGUUAUUAAGUUCUGUUUUUCCUGAGAAUUUCAUUUUUUUUGCGCAUCAAGUUGUUAUUAAGUUCUGUUUUUCCUGAGAAUUUCAUUUUUUUUGCACUUUAAGUUGUUAUUAAGUGUCUCGAGCUCUGUGUUCUUUUUCAGCAUUUCAUUGUUUUUGUAUUUUAGGUUCUGAUUAAGUUUCUUAAGCUCAGUGUUUUUCCUAAGCAUUUUAUUGUUUUUGCACUUUAAAUUCUUAUUAAUUUCCUCGAGUUCUGUGUUUUCCUUGAGCAUUUUCUUGUUAAUAUAUUUUAAGUUGUUAUGAAGUUCCUCAAGCUCUGUGCUCUUUCUCAGA